CAUGAAUUUUCUGGCUGUGGAGUCGGUCAGCUUCACCGGCAGUCUGCCCUUAUGUGACGGUCACCCGCCAGGACUGCGCACCUAGAAGAAUGUCGCCGUUAACCCGCAAGAGCUUAGCUGAAUGUAAGACAACAGCGCUGUAUCGUGCCUGGACGGGACAACUCUUCAUUCAGGAGCAGCGAGUGUGCGACCUGGCCCUCCGCUCGCCGUUCAGCGGCACCAUCCCAGCCCAGUUGCCAGCCAAUCUUGAAGCCAGGCACAUCGUGGCCGUGUCGGACUUGAGAAAGAAGCUGCCUGC